GAAGCCUAGGGUUUUUCUUUCAAGAUGAAGAAUGAGGCAAAAAUGAUUCAAUUUGCCUUUUAAAUGGCUCAAAAAUCAUGUUUGAUUAAUUGUAAAAUGGUUCCUAACAAAAAUAGGGUAGCUAAACGGACCCCAACCAUGGCUUUGGUGUCGCGACACCCUGUAAGUGGCACGCAGUGCCACAGCAGCAGCGUUGCGGCACCACUUUACAUUUUUAGAUUUUUGUAACUCCAAUCCCUUAGAUAAUUGCAUGUCAAAUCCCUCAACUUUGAACUUUUACAAUUUGAUCCUCGAAUUUUGACUUUUAAAUCAAUUACGCCCGCCAAUAAUUGCAACCCAAGUCCUUGUACUUUUGGUACUUAGCAUUUUGGUCCCAACUUCACAAUUUUGUAUGCUUUUAGUCCCUUUUCACUUCCUUUUGCCUUGUUCUACUACAUUGGGUGAAUUUUACCUACAAAAACAAUAAGUACAUAAUUGUGAAUGGAAAAUCGCUCAUUUAAUCAAUAUUUAAGCUUAUUUCAACAUUAAACGAGUGUGCAAAAACACAAUUAUUAAAUACCUCCUAACUUAAACUCCCGAGCAAGAUUAUUUACUACACAAUCAUGUAACACAUGAUAAAGAUUAACAAUAUUAAAUAGUUUGCAUAAAAAUCAAUGAGUGUAAAAUUGUAUAAUCAAUUCACAAAUAUGCCCAAAUAAUGCCAGCAAAAAUAAUUUAAGCUUAUCCAAUGUUCGAUUGGGGUGUGUGUGUGUGUGUGCGCGUGUGUGCAAAGUCACUUUCAGUUAUUAUCUAUAUUAGGAAAAAGUUGUCAAGAAGGAAAAAUCUUCAAAUUGGCUUCAACCCGACCCUUUGUGGUCAAAUAUUUCCUUUUUUACUCGUGAGAUUCACACUAAAAUAGAUAUUUAUUUUGCUUCUUGAAGUGUAAAUCUAAGGUUGCUCUAGUUUGGUUGGGUCAACUGGCAAUCUCAAUAUCCA
rnacentral:lncRNA from 1 species